ACACCCUCAAGCUACGCUUGGUGUUGGGCGUCUGUCCCCGCUUCUCGCGAGGACUCGCCCCAAAUCCAUUGGCAGCGGCAUCGCCGGCUUCUCGCGCAGCACAUUGCGCUUCGGAAGGCUCCCGGCGUUCUCGCAUCCAGCAAGAACCCCCCCA
rnacentral:misc_RNA from 1 species